rnacentral:rRNA from 1 species
GACGAACGCUGGCUUCGUGCCUAAUACAUGCAAGUAGAACGCUGAAGAGAGGAGCUUGCUCUUCUUGGAUGAGUUGCGAACGGGUGAGUAACGCGUAGGUAACCUGCCUUGUAGCGGGGGAUAACUAUUGGAAACGAUAGCUAAUACCGCAUAACAAUGGAUGACACAUGUCAUUUAUUUGAAAGGGGCAAUUGCUCCACUACAAGAUGGACCUGCGUUGUAUUAGCUAGUAGGUGAGGUAACGGCUCACCUAGGCGACGAUACAUAGCCGACCUGAGAGGGUGAUCGGCCACACUGGGACUGAGACACGGCCCAGACUCCUACGGGAGGCAGCAGUAGGGAAUCUUCGGCAAUGGGGGCAACCCUGACCGAGCAACGCCGCGUGAGUGAAGAAGGUUUUCGGAUCGUAAAGCUCUGUUGUAAGUCAAGAACGAGUGUGAGAGUGGAAAGUUCACACUGUGACGGUAGCUUACCAGAAAGGGACGGCUAACUACGUGCCAGCAGCCGCGGUAAUACGUAGGUCCCGAGCGUUGUCCGGAUUUAUUGGGCGUAAAGCGAGCGCAGGCGGUUUGAUAAGUCUGAAGUUAAAGGCUGUGGCUCAACCAUAGUUCGCUUUGGAAACUGUCAAACUUGAGUGCAGAAGGGGAGAGUGGAAUUCCAUGUGUAGCGGUGAAAUGCGUAGAUAUAUGGAGGAACACCGGUGGCGAAAGCGGCUCUCUGGUCUGUAACUGACGCUGAGGCUCGAAAGCGUGGGGAGCGAACAGGAUUAGAUACCCUGGUAGUCCACGCCGUAAACGAUGAGUGCUAGGUGUUGGAUCCUUUCCGGGAUUCAGUGCCGCAGCUAACGCAUUAAGCACUCCGCCUGGGGAGUACGACCGCAAGGUUGAAACUCAAAGGAAUUGACGGGGGCCCGCACAAGCGGUGGAGCAUGUGGUUUAAUUCGAAGCAACGCGAAGAACCUUACCAGGUCUUGACAUCCCGAUGCUAUUUCUAGAGAUAGAAAGUUACUUCGGUACAUCGGUGACAGGUGGUGCAUGGUUGUCGUCAGCUCGUGUCGUGAGAUGUUGGGUUAAGUCCCGCAACGAGCGCAACCCCUAUUGUUAGUUGCCAUCAUUCAGUUGGGCACUCUAGCGAGACUGCCGGUAAUAAACCGGAGGAAGGUGGGGAUGACGUCAAAUCAUCAUGCCCCUUAUGACCUGGGCUACACACGUGCUACAAUGGUUGGUACAACGAGUUGCGAGUCGGUGACGGCAAGCUAAUCUCUUAAAGCCAAUCUCGGUUCGGAUUGUAGGCUGCAACUCGCCUACAUGAAGUCGGAAUCGCUAGUAAUCGCGGAUCAGCACGCCGCGGUGAAUACGUUCCCGGGCCU